AGAUGGGCAUGCGUGUCAUUAGCUAGUUGGUAGGGUAACGGCCUACCAAGGCGACGAUGACUAGGGGAUCUGAGAGGAUAAUCCCCCACACUGGUACUGAGACACGGACCAGACUCCUACGGGAGGCAGCAGUAAGGAAUAUUGGGCAAUGGAGGCAACUCUGACCCAGCCAUGCCGCGUGCAGGAAUAAGGCCCUAUGGGUCGUAAACUGCUUUUGUACGGGAAUAAUUGUCAAUACGAGUAUUGGCUUGAAGGUACCGUAAGAAUAAGGAUCGGCUAACUCCGUGCCAGCAGCCGCGGUAAUACGGAGGAUCCAAGCGUUAUCCGGAUUCACUGGGUUUAAAGGGUGCGUAGGCGGAUUGAUAAGUCAGUGGUGAAAUCCUGCAGCUUAACUGCAGAACUGCCAUUGAUACUGUUAGUCUUGAAUUUGAUUGAAGUGGCUGGAAUGUGUCAUGUAGCGGUGAAAUGCUUAGAUAUGACACAGAACACCGACAGCGAAGGCAGGUCACUAAGUCAACAUUGACGCUGAGGCACGAAAGCGUGGGGAUCAAACAGGAUUAGAUACCCUGGUAGUCCACGCCCUAAACGAUGAUUACUCGUUGUUGGCGAUAUACAGUCAGUGACUGAGCGAAAGCAUUAA
rnacentral:rRNA from 1 species